rnacentral:rRNA from 1 species
GGUAGCGCCUCGUGAAUUCAUCUCCGGGGGUAGAGCACUGUUUCGGCAAGGGGGUCAUCCCGACUUACCAACCCGAUGCAAACUGCGAAUACCGGAGAAUGUUAUCACGGGAGACACACGGCGGGUGCUAACGUCCGUCGUGAAGAGGGAAACAACCCAGACCGCCAGCUAAGGUCCCAAAGUCAUGGUUAAGUGGGAAACGAUGUGGGAAGGCCCAGACAGCCAGGAUGUUGGCUUAGAAGCAGCCAUCAUUUAAAGAAAGCGUAAUAGCUCACUGGUCGAGUCGGCCUGCGCGGAAGAUGUAACGGGGCUAAACCAUGCAC